CACACACACCACAGUUCCAGACCUGCAGAGCAACCAGAGUUAUUUCAUCACUGUAUGGGCCAGUUCUCCGGGGGGUCACUCACAGUCUGUGGGGUUUGAGGGGACCACCCUUCAGCCAGUGGACGAUAUUCCGUUCAUAGCUGCAGUCUCGGAGGAACGUCUUUGGAGGCAAGAAAUGGACAGUUUCUUCCUUCAGUCUCUGGCUUCUACUGUGAAAGACGUGAAAGAUAUGGACUGGUACAAUGGCACAGUCUACUGGACGGACAGUUCAGGACACAUUAGCUGGAUGGAGCUGGAUGAUGUCUCUUCUGGUCCUGAAGUAUUUAUAGUGCCUCAGACCAUGAAGGCUGAUGCUGUAGCCUUUGACUGGCUGGGGCAGUAUUUAUACUGGAGCUGCAACACAAACAU
ensembl:lncRNA